rnacentral:tRNA from 1 species
GGUUCCGUAGCUUAGCCUGAUAGAGCACUCGACUGAUAAUCGAGAGGUCCGGAGUUUAAAUCUCCGCGGGACCA